rnacentral:rRNA from 1 species
GAUGAACGCUGGCGGCGUGCUUAACACAUGCAAGUCGAACGGAAAGGCUCCUGCUUGCAGGGGUCCUCGAGUGGCGAACGGGUGAGUAACACGUGGGUUAUCUGCCCUGCACUUCGGGAUAAGCUUGGGAAACUGGGUCUAAUACCGGAUAGGACCACACUUUGGAUGGUGUGGUGGCAAGUUUUUCGGUGUGGGGUGAGCUCGCGGCCUAUCAGCUUGUUGGUGGGGUACUGGACUACCAAGGCGUGGACGGGUAGCCGGCCUGAGAGGAUGUACGGCCAAAUUAGGACGGAAAUACGGCACGGACUAGUACGGGAGGGGGGGGUGGAGAAUAGUACACAAUGGGAGGAAGGCUGAUGCAGCGAAGCAGCGUGGGGGGUGACAGCCAGCGGGUUGUAAAGUCCUUUCGCUAGGGACGAAGCGAAAGUGACGGUACCUGGAGAAGAAGCACCGGCUAACUACGUG